CAAAUAACAUAUCAUUCUGACAAAAUCUGGUCUUCAUAAUUUCAGUUAUGUCACCUGGUACGUAAUACACGAGGUGCACACAUGUUGGUCUAGACUGGAACCUGACGACAGUGGUGAGGAGAACAAGCUCGCCGACGGUGUCUCCACCAUCCAGUCAAAAUUGUUGAUAUGUUGAUGGGAAGAAGUUGGAAACAGAAGACUAUGAAGCCAUCAAUUAUGCUUUGUAGAUUCUUUCAGCUCCAGGUUGAUAUGUUGCAUGGAGGAAGUUGGAAGCACAAGACUAUGAAGCCAUCAAUUAUGCUUUGUUUUCCUGAUUACGUGUUUCUCUUACUCUUUGUGUAUAUCAUGUUACUGUUUUAGUUUUGUUUGUUUAAUGAAAAUUAGAAAAGUAUUUGAA